rnacentral:rRNA from 1 species
UACGAAGGGGGUUAGCGUUGUUCGGAUUUACUGGGCGUAAAGCGCACGUAGGUGGAUCGUUAAGUCGGGGGUGAAAUCCUGGAGCUCAACUCUAGAACUGCCUUCGAUACUGGCGAUCUUGAGUCCGGAAGAGGUGAGUGGAACUGCGAGUGUAGAGGUGAAAUUCGUAGAUAUUCGCAAGAACACCAGUGGCGAAGGCGGCUCACUGGCCCGGUACUGACGCUGAGGUGCGAAAGCGUGGGGAGCAAACAGG